rnacentral:rRNA from 1 species
CCUACGGGUUUCUUCCUUCUUUCCUCUUCUCCCUUUCCUCCCUUCUUCUCUCUCCCCCCCUCUUUUUCUCCGAAGUCCUUCGGGUUGUAAAGCACUUUUUGGAAGGAUUAGGAAGGAAUGUACUUCCAGAAUAAGUCUCGGCUAACUACGUGCCAGCAGCCGCGGUAACACGUAGGAGGCAAACGUUAUCCGGAUUUACUGGGCGUAAAGCGCGUGUAGGUGGUUCUGUAAGUAGGGCGUGAAAGCUCCUGGCUCAACUGGGAGAGGCCGUUCUAAACUGCCGGACUAGAGGAUGGUAGAGGGAGGUGGAAUUCCGGGUGUAGCGGUGGAAUGCGCAGAUAUCCGGAGGAACACCAGUGGCGAAAGCGGCCUCCUGGACCACUCCUGACACUCAGACGCGAAAGCUAGGGUAGCAAACG